GCCGAACGGGUAGAGCCGGGCACUCUGGCGGGACUGCCAUCGACAAGAUGGAGGAAGGUGGGGAUGACGUCAAGUCAUCAUGGCCCUUAUGUCCAGGGCGACACACGUGCUACAAUGGCCGGCACAGCGGGAAGCGAGGCAGUGAUGCCAAGCGGAUCCCUUAAAGCCGGUCUCAGUUCGGAUUGAAGUCUGCAACUCGACUUCAUGAAGCUGGAAUCGCUAGUAAUCGCAGAUCAGCCAACGCUGCGGUAGAAUAACGUUCCCGGGCCUU
rnacentral:rRNA from 1 species